CCAGCCCAGAUCUGGACCAGGAGGUAGACCAGAAGCAGAUCACAACAUAUAAACUGGACCAUGAUAUAUAGACUUGACCUGGAAAUGUAGACCUGACCAAUAGAUAUAGACCAGAAAAAAGACCACAAUGCAUAGACCAGACCUGAGGAUAUAGACCAGAACUAAAUCAGGGGACAGUCCAAGCCAUGAGAUAUAGACCAGACCAGGAGAUGUAGACCAGACCAUGAGGUACAGACCAGACCAGGAGGUGUACACCAGACUACAAUACAUAGUCCAGACCAGAAGAUGUAGACUAGACCAGGAUACAUAGACCAGACCAGGAAACGUAGACUAGACCAGAAUACAUAGACCAGACCAUGAGCUACAAACCAGCCCAGGAGGUGUAUAACAGACUAUAAUACAUAGACCAGACUAGGAGAUGGAGACUAGACCAGGAUACAUAGACCAGACUAGGGGAUGUAGACCAGACCAUGAGCUACAGACCACACCAGGAGGUGUAUAACAGACUAUGAUACAUAGACCAGGAUUUGUAGACCAGACCAUGAUAUGUAGACCAGACCAUGAUAUGUAGACCAGACCAUGAGAUGUACACCAGAAAAAAGAUCACAAUGCACAGACCAGACCAGAAUAUAUGGACCAGACGUGGACAUAUAGACUAGACCACAGACCAGAGGAUUUGGAUAACUAAAGUACUGGGUUUAGUUAACCAUUGGUUAUGGGAGCUGAUUCCAUCACAU